CCGACAAGCCGUGGCGGUAUCCGCAGGAGUGAGAGGGUUCGCCCGUAUUUUCAGUUCAUACCAACGACGUCCCGCAAUAGACUUGUGACUCGAAAGGAACGAUCGCAU
rnacentral:misc_RNA from 1 species